ensembl:lncRNA
GAGAAAACAACAAACAAGCAAAACCCAACAUGUAUUUAUCAUUUUCAUUUCCAGUGUAUCAGAAAAUCUGUGACACAGAAGCAGAUUUUCCCAAUCUUUUCUCUGCUAUGAACAAUUAUUGUGAAUUCCAAAGCAUAUUUGGGGAUGACACCCACCCAAACUCAUCCGACCUUUCUUUAUGAGAAUUCUGGCUACUCAAGUAUGUAGAUUACUCAAAAAAUAAUGUUUCCCAUUUAUUUCUAUGGAAUCUACACAAGAUACGCAGUAACACUAUCUGAUAGAGCAAAUUCUCAGAUACAAAACACUGUUUUUCAAUGUAGUGACCUCCAUCUUGUAUGUAUGUAUCUUGUAUGUAUGCCACUGAUGAGCAAGAGCUUACAUGCCACGCUCAUAAAAAUCUGCACCAGAGGAGGGCACCCAUUGUUUCACAGCUUCUGUGAUGACAUUGUUACUAGGAAAAUGUUGUCCACACAGUCCAUCUUUCAUUGGCAUGAACAGAUGGAAAUCAAAAGAUGCCAAAUCUGGACCAUGUGGAGGCGUGGUUGGAUGGUCCAGCCAAGACUGGCAGUGUGCUCCAGGGUCUUCCAUCUGAUAUGGGUCCUGAUGUCAUUGUGUUGCAGGAUAAGGAUUGUCUGCUUCUCUGGCCUAACUCUAUAUGUGUGAACCUUCAGCUAAGGCAGCAUCAUGACAUAGUGGUCAGAACUGAUGGUUUGUCCAAGUUCCAGGAAAUCCAGAAGGAUCACCAUUUUCUAUCUCAAAAGACAGUGCACAUCACUUUACCCACUGAGGGCUGUCUUGAACUUUUUAUUUGAUGGGGAAUUCACAUGUUGCCACACAUGGACUGCCAUUUUGACUCUGGCUAGUAGUGGUGACAUCAUGUCUUAUCACCAGUACUGAUGUGAUUUAGGAAACUGUCACCUUCAGCAUCAUAUUAUUGGAAUAGAUCCUGGCAAACUUGCAUAUGGUGUUCUUUCUGUUCUUAUGUGAACAUUCAUGGGACCCACCCGGCACAAGCUUUGCAAUACUCUUAACGUUGUCACUAGUGUUUCCAACUCACUGAGGCUGACAUUCAUCUUUGUACAAAGCCCCCAGCAUAAUAAUAAUAAUAAAAGUGGGCCAAGAUAAUAAAAUAGGAGGCAUUACUUUCAGGGCAGCCCUUCUGUAAUAAGCUUAAAAAAUUAUAAUCUGAAUUCUUGAUUCUCAUCAGUAGAAGGUAAUCUUGACACAAACAUGUUACCCACACACAGUGAUGACUAUGACAACAUUUUUUUUUCACCUCUAGAAAUACGUGUCCUUAAUCAGCCUUGUGUUAAUACAGCGUCAAGGCAAGCACUAUCCAUGCCCUGAGCCAUGUAUCAAUAGAAAAAGAAGCAGAAUAAAGACAAUGUGAUUUCAAGACUUAUUUUCAGGGCAGUCUACAUACGGUAUGAACACAGAGGAACCAGUCAGUCUGCAUUUAAAUAGUUAAUUACAGAUAUUAAUGUCUACUCUGCUGUAUUAGAAAAAUAAAUGUAAUGGCUUUUCCUGCCAGGAGGGUGCUUCACAUAAUGGAUUGCUUUGCUGAUGUGACUAAAUACCUUUCUGAUAUUGAUCCACACAGAGGAGGAGAGAAAACCUAAGAAAACUCUUGAAGGUAUUAUAAAGCAGCCAGGGAGACAGAUCAGGGUUGUGGCAGCAGAACAGAAUUUAUGCAUUCAGAAUUGAUGCAAAAAGCACUUCUGAAACUGCCAAGUCUUUCCAGGAAGAGCCGACAGACAGACAGAGGAACUGUUUCUUCAUCUUGUAUGUGUCCUCAGCUCCACAUGUCCUGGAACAGACGGUUUAUUCCUUGCAUGCUGUGACCAAGGGAAGGUCUCCUCUUCUAUUCAGAUCUUCGGAGCAUAUUUUAGUAAUCCCUCACCUGGACAUGCUUGCUGUUAGGUGGUGCUAAGCCUCUGGAACAUGUUUGCAGAAGAGGAAACUCCAGUCUGGAUACAGCUACCCUUGCUCAUUUAUCCCCACCUGCAUCCCAGGCUGAAAGGAGUGAGGGAAGAGUACGAAGAAAAUGUUGGGAGAUCAUCAGACAAAAGGUCCUGAGCAGUUCGAGAUCUACUCGCCCUAAAGCCCUGAAGACCUCAUCCAGCUGGCUAUCAAGAAAAACCCACUAUAGAGUUGAAUUUAAUGGGGAAAUAUAAAAGAGAAGAUUAAAG